GUGCUCACUUCGGCAGCACAUACACUAAAAUUGGAAUGAUACAGAAAAGAUUAGCAUGGCCUCUGUGCAAGAACGGCACACAAAGUCGUGAAGCGUUCCUUUUUUUU
ensembl:snRNA U6 U6 spliceosomal RNA